rnacentral:rRNA from 1 species
UGCUAUACAUGCAAGUCGAGCGGACAGAUGGGAGCUUGCUCCCUGAUGUUAGCGGCGGACGGGUGAGUAACACGUGGGUAACCUGCCUGUAAGACUGGGAUAACUCCGGGAAACCGGGGCUAAUACCGGAUGGUUGUUUGAACCGCAUGGUUCAAACAUAAAAGGUGGCUUCGGCUACCACUUACAGAUGGACCCGCGGCGCAUUAGCUAGUUGGUGAGGUAACGGCUCACCAAGGCAACGAUGCGUAGCCGACCUGAGAGGGUGAUCGGCCACACUGGGACUGAGACACGGCCCAGACUCCUACGGGAGGCAGCAGUAGGGAAUCUUCCGCAAUGGACGAAAGUCUGACGGAGCAACGCCGCGUGAGUGAUGAAGGUUU